CAAACUGGGAUUAGAUACCCCACUAUGCUUAACCAUAAACCAAAGUAAUUAAUAAACAAAAUUAUUCGCCAGAGUACUACGAGCAACAGCUCAAAACUCAAGGGACUUGGCGGUGCUUUAUACCCCUCUAGAGGAGCCUGUUCUAUAAACGAUAAACCCCGAUAAACCUCACCACCCCUUGCUAAUUCAACCUAUAUACCGCCAUCCUCAGCAAACCCUGUUAAGGACUUAAAGUAAGCAAGACACUCACGCACUAAAACGUUAGGUCAAGGUGUAGUCUAUGGGACGGGAAGAAAUGGGCUACAUUUCCUAUACCCAUAGGACAUCUAACGCUAACCCUCAUGAAACACAGGACAAAAGGCGGAUUUAGUAGUAAACCAAGAAUAGAGAGCCUGAUUGAAUUGGGCAAUGAAGCACGCACACACCGCCCGUCACCCU
rnacentral:rRNA from 1 species